GACGAACGCUGGCGGCGUGCCUAAUACAUGCGAGUUGAGCGCUGAAGGUUGGUACUUGUACCAACUGGAUGAGCAGCGAACGGGUGAGUAACGCGUGGGGAAUCUGCCUUUGAGCGGGGGACAACAUUUGGAAACGAAUGCUAAUACCGCAUAAAAACUUUAAACACAAGUUUUAAGUUUGAAAGAUGCAAUUGCAUCACUCAAAGAUGAUCCCGCGUUGUAUUAGCUAGUUGGUGAGGUAAAGGCUCACCAAGGCGAUGAUACAUAGCCGACCUGAGAGGGUGGUCGGCCACAUUGGGACUGAGACACGGCCCAAACUCCUACGGGAGGCAGCAGUAGGGAAUCUUCGGCAAUGGACGAAAGUCUGACCGAGCAACGCCGCGUGAGUGAAGAAGGUUUUCGGAUCGUAAAACUCUGUUGGUAGAGAAGAACGUUGGUGAGAGUGGAAAGCUCAUCAAGUGACGGUAACUACCCAGAAAGGGACGGCUAACUACGUG
rnacentral:rRNA from 1 species